UACGUAGGGUGCAAGCGUUAAUCGGAAUUACUGGGCGUAAAGCGUGCGCAGGCGGUGAUGUAAGACAGGUGUGAAAUCCCCGGGCUUAACCUGGGAACUGCAUUUGUGACUGCAUCGCUGGAGUGCGGCAGAGGGGGGAUGGAAUUCCGCGUGUAGCAGUGAAAUGCGUAGAUAUGCGGAGGAACACCGAUGGACGAAGGCG
rnacentral:rRNA from 1 species